rnacentral:rRNA from 1 species
AACGAACGCUGGCGGCAUGCCUAACACAUGCAAGUCGAACGAGACCUUCGGUCUAGUGGCGCACGGGUGCGUAACGCGUGGGAAUCUGCCCUUGGGUUCGGAAUAACAGUUAGAAAUGACUGCUAAUACCGGAUAAUGUCUUCGGACCAAAGAUUUAUCGCCCAGGGAUGAGCCCGCGUAGGAUUAGCUAGUUGGUGAGGUAAAGGCUCACCAAGGCGACGAUCCUUAGCUGGUCUGAGAGGAUGAUCAGCCACACUGGGACUGAGACACGGCCCAGACUCCUACGGGAGGCAGCAGUGGGGAAUAUUGGACAAUGGGCGAAAGCCUGAUCCAGCAAUGCCGCGUGAGUGAUGAAGGCCUUAGGGUUGUAAAGCUCUUUUACCCGGGAUGAUAAUGACAGUACCGGGAGAAUAAGCCCCGGCUAACUCCGUGCCAGCAGCC